UGGGGAAUAUUGGACAAUGGGGGGAACCCUGAUCCAGCCAUGCCGCGUGUGUGAAGAAGGCCUUAUGGUUGUAAAGCACUUUAAGCGAGGAGGAGGGUACUGGUAUUAAUACUACCAGCUACUGGACGUUACUCGCAGAAUAAGCACCGGCUAACUCUGUGCCAGCAGCCGCGGUAAUACAGAGGGUGCGAGCGUUAAUCGGAUUUACUGGGCGUAAAGCGUGCGUAGGCGGCUAAUUGAGUCGGAUGUGAAAUCCCCGAGCUUAACUUGGGAAUUGCCUUCGAUACUUGUUAGCUAGCGUGUGGGCGAGGCUGGUAGAAUUCCCGGUGUAGCGUUGACCUGCGUAUCGAUCUGGAGGCCUACCGAUGGCGACGGCAGCCCUCUUGCCUAACACUGCCGCUGCGGUGCCAAAGCCUGGGGAGCAAACAGG
rnacentral:rRNA from 1 species